rnacentral:tRNA from 1 species
GUUAUUUUGGCAGAAUAGUGCGCUUGAUUUAGAAUCUUUUAAUGUAAUUUUUACAUAUAACA